AUAACGGCGUCGAGCGGCGGACGGGUGAGUAAUGCCUAGGAAAUUGCCCUGAUGUGGGGGAUAACCAUUGGAAACGAUGGCUAAUACCGCAUGAUGCCUACGGGCCAAAGAGGGGGACCUUCGGGCCUCUCGCGUCAGGAUAUGCCUAGGUGGGAUUAGCUAGUUGGUGAGGUAAGGGCUCACCAAGGCGACGAUCCCUAGCUGGUCUGAGAGGAUGAUCAGCCACACUGGAACUGAGACACGGUCCAGACUCCUACGGGAGGCAGCAGUGGGGAAUAUUGCACAAUGGGCGCAAGCCUGAUGCAGCCAUGCCGCGUGUGUGAAGAAGGCCUUCGGGUUGUAAAGCACUUUCAGUCGUGAGGAAGGUAGUGUAGUUAAUAGCUGCAUUAUUUGACGUUAGCGACAGAAGAAGCACCGGCUAACUCCGUGCCAGCAGCCGCGGUAAUACGGAGGGUGCGAGCGUUAAUCGGAAUUACUGGGCGUAAAGCGCAUGCAGGUGGUUUGUUAAGUCAGAUGUGAAAGCCCGGGGCUCAACCUCGGAAUAGCAUUUGAAACUGGCAGACUAGAGUACUGUAGAGGGGGGUAGAAUUUCAGGUGUAGCGGUGAAAUGCGUAGAGAUCUGAAGGAAUACCGGUGGCGAAGGCGGCCCCCUGGACAGAUACUGACACUCAGAUGCGAAAGCGUGGGGAGCAAACAGGAUUAGAUACCCUGGUAGUCCACGCCGUAAACGAUGUCUACUUGGAGGUUGUGGCCUUGAGCCGUGGCUUUCGGAGCUAACGCGUUAAGUAGACCGCCUGGGGAGUACGGUCGCAAGAUUAAAACUCAAAUGAAUUGACGGGGGCCCGCACAAGCGGUGGAGCAUGUGGUUUAAUUCGAUGCAACGCGAAGAACCUUACCUA
rnacentral:rRNA from 1 species